GGAGGGGUGGGAGAGUGGUUAAAUCCACCAGACUGUAAAUCUGGCCGCUUAGCGUACGAUGGUUCGAAUCCAUCCCCCUCCACCA
rnacentral:tRNA from 1 species